rnacentral:rRNA from 1 species
UGACCUGCCCUGUACUUCGGGAUAAGCCUGGGAAACUGGGUCUAAUACCGGAUAUGACCUUCUCCUGCAUGGGGGUUGGUGGAAAGUUUUUGCGGUACAGGAUGGGCCCGCGGCCUAUCAGCUUGUUGGUGGGGUAAUGGCCUACCAAGGCGACGACGGGUAGCCGGCCUGAGAGGGCGACCGGCCACACUGGGACUGAGACACGGCCCAGACUCCUACGGGAGGCAGCAGUGGGGAAUAUUGCACAAUGGGCGAAAGCCUGAUGCAGCGACGCCGCGUGAGGGAUGACGGCCUUCGGGUUGUAAACCUCUUUCAGUAGGGACGAAGCGCAAGUGACGGUACCUACAGAAGAAGCACCGGCCAACUACGUGCCAGCAGCCGCGGUAAUACGUAGGGUGCGAGCGUUGUCCGGAUUUACUGGGCGUAAAGAGCUCGUAGGCGGUUUGUCACGUCGUCUGUGAAAACCCGAGGCUUAACCUCGGGCCUGCAGGCGAUACGGGCAGACUUGAGUACUGUAGGGGAGACUGGAAUUCCUGGUGUAGCGGUGGAAUGCGCAGAUAUCAGGAGGAACACCGGUGGCGAAGGCGGGUCUCUGGGCAGUAACUGACGCU